AUGAAUCUCUAUCUUACUGGCAGAAGAAAGCAUAGCCUAGUAGAAAGAAUGGUAGAGUCAGGAAGACUUGCCAUUUACUAAUUGUGUGAUGUGACAUGUCAUUUAAUAUCUUUGGGUCUGUUUCCUCAUCUAUAAAAUGAGGUCGAAAUUAGAUGGACAGAAUGCAUGUAAAUAUUUUAACAAUAUAAAUGCCUUUGUUAGCCACUCAGAAUGAAUCCUAGCACUCCAAACUUGGCACAA